UUAGCCCUAAACUUAGAUAGUUAACCUAAACAAAGCUAUCCGCCAGAGAACUACUAGCAACAGCUUAAAACUCAAAGGACUUGGCGGUGCUUUAUAUCCCUCUAGAGGAGCCUGUCCUAUAAUCGAUAAACCCCGAUAUACCUCACCAUCUCUUGCUAAUUCAGCCUAUAUACCGCCAUCUUCAGCAAACCCUUAAAAGGAAUAAAAGUAAGCAUAAGCAUCUUAACAUAAAAAAGUUAGGUCAAGGUGUAGCCUAUGAGAUGGGAAGUAAUGGGCUACAUUCUCUAAAACCAGAGCAUCCACGAAAAUCCUUAUGAAACUAAGUAUUAAAGGAGGAUUUAGUAGUAAAUUGAGAAUAGAGAGCUCAAUUGAAUUGGGCCAUGAAGCACGC
rnacentral:rRNA from 1 species